rnacentral:rRNA from 1 species
UUAAGUGAACGAUAGCCUAGGAGAUACACCUGUACCCAUGCCGAACACAGUAGUUAAGCCCUAGAACGCCUGAAGUAGUUGGGGUUGCCCCCUGUUAGAUACGGAAGUCGCUUAGC